rnacentral:misc_RNA from 1 species
AAACACAAACUUACCUUAAUAUUGUUAAGCUCCAGAACUAGAUGGAAACACAUGUUAUAACAUACAAUCAAAGCUACCACUACACAGCUAUUCUUUUCUAUUUUCGCAACAGGUUUCAGUUGGAUCUUACAGUCAGCAUUUAGUUUCCUUCAUCUCCAUAUCAGAUUGGGUAGGUGUUUAUUAGCUAGCUACUAUAGAUAUCUCUCUGUGUUUUUAGUGCAAAACAUAACCCAGCUUCCCUUUUAUAUCGCCUACUUCUGCAAAUUCUUAUUAAAUAAUCUGUACAUAUAACCAAGACCAAGUCAUACUUGGGAAUUUUCUGCUAGGGCUGCUGCUGAUUGCUUGCGCACGUACACUUGGCACGAGUCUCUGAUAGUGUCUUAACUUGUCUUUCGAGGUCAUUAAUGUAGUCGACAGCCAAAUCCAGCAUGUCUGCUGUGUUUGUUUGCUUAUCCAUGUUAGGUACAAGAUCUUGUAGUUUCCUCAUGCGUUCGCUAAUUCGAGUUCUUCUCACCCGCUCAGCAAUGCUCCUUGGAUGAGUGGCGCAUCCACGCUUAGCCCGAAUCUUGCAAGGCACAGAAUCUUGCAACUGCAGAAACUUUUCAAUGGCUGAGAUUUCAGCUGAGGUUUUUGGCAAACUCAAAUGAUGAGCCAACAUAGGAGGGUGAUUUCCAGCAUCUCCGUCCAGAGUUUCAGAUGCAUUUAGGCCAGAAAGUGUCCUAUCAUCAUCUGUUAGUCUUUUUGCACUUGCACCAGCACCAGCAGAGAUGACACUUGUAUCAUCCCAAGAACCCAUUGGGAAACCUGUGACAUAAUUGUUGCU